AAAGAACUUUGCUUAGUAUCAAAUUAAAAUUGAACGGUAUGAAAACAAUUGUAUAAGUUAAAAAGCAGUGGGUAAAAUUGAGCCUCACAAUUUACGUGCUAAGUUCACAUGGCACUGGCAUCCAGAACAAGUAAGAAAAAUUAAACUUCAAGAAGGGUUUUAUUUCUUAAUAACGAAAGUGAAAUGAGCUUCACAAAUUAGAGUAGAAGAAAGCAAUGACCAGAAAUUUUAAUGUGCCUUUUAUUGAAAAAACACGAGAUUUUGAGACUUUACAUUUCUGCCGCAAAUCACUAUACAAAUUCGGCAACACCAGGGAAGCUGAAUACUUGUGGAUUGAUGGAUCAGGAAGUCCGAAACUGCAGCUGAUGCUAAUCUUUCUUCAGUUACGAAACCUGUCAGAGGAUUGUGAAUUCCCACCAAUUUCUUAAAUUCCAAUUUUAGAAUCCCAUCAAUCUGUAUUUGACCUGUACAGAGCUGCAGUAGCGAAUUUUAGGGUUCACAGCUGUUCGUGGGGAUAUCUUGCAUUGAUAUCCUAGGCAGACUGGAAUGUCACUUGCCCAGCAACAGUUGCCUGAUACUCUGCACAAGCCUCUGGGGUGUCUUCUUCACUAGGUGGAACCAACUGCCGAAAUAGCGGUAGAUAUGUAUCCCAUUCCUUCAGAAUAGCAGCGCCUUUACGGCUGCCAGUUUUUUCAACAUGUGCUUCAAUAAGGCUCUUCAGUUGCAUCUGGCCAACGGGAGCAGUCACUCGUUGGACCUUCACUAUUUCUUUAUUUACCUUGGGCAUUAGAGUAUCAUCUUCAUCAAGAAUGUAUGCCAGGCCACCAGUCAUCCCAGCUGCUACAUUUCUACCCACUUUUCCAAGAACAACCACACAACCACCAGUCAUAUACUCGCAGCAAUGGUCUCCUGUGCCUUCAACUACUGCUUGAGCAAGCGAGUUUCUGACAGCAAACCGCUCCCCAGCUUUUCCUCUAACAAAUACUUGGCCACCUGUUGCCCCAUAUAAGCAUGUGUUCCCAACUAUAGUUGCAUCCUCGGGGCAAAACCCAGUGUUCUCCACAGGAGUUACAACCAACUCUCCUCCAGCCAUACCCUUUCCCACAUAAUCGUUAGCCUCUCCAACAAGCCGAAUGUUCAUUCCAGGUGUCAAAAAGCAUGCAAAUGACUGCCCUGCACUCCCAGUAAACGUUAUGUUCAGCUGCCCAGCAAAACCAGUGUCCCCAUAUUUCUUUGCAACCACACCUGCUACACGCCCACAAACAGCACGGUCCACAUUGUAUAUCUUUAUAGUUUUAUUGACAACUUUUUCAUUCUCAAUAGCGUCCAAGAUCUCUGGAUCGGCAAGUAGAACAUCAUCCAAAACUGGACCAUUACUAUGAGCACCUUGAUUCCUGAUUUCAGUGCUGCUCCAUUUUGGUAACCCAACACUUGAAAGAAUAUAACUGAGAUCAAGAUGCUGAGUUUUCACUAGGGAAAUGUCACGUGGUCUCAAUAAAUCUGUUUGCCCAAUAACAUCAUCCAACUUCUCGUAACCCAAUUGUGCCAGUGUGCCUCUUACCUCCUCAGCAACGUACAAGAAGUAAUUAACAAGAUCUCCAGGCACACCAGGAAAACGUGCACGCAGUUCUUCUCUCUGACUGGCAACACCAACAGGGCAAUUAUUAGUGUGACAAAUGCGAGCCAUAACACAUCCAGUAGCAAUCAUUGCCACAGAUCCAAAUCCAUACUCAUCAGCACCCAUUGCUGCGGCCAUCAUGACAUCGACUCCACUUCUAAAGCCACCAUCAACCCUAAUAAUUACCCUUUCUCUGAGUCCAUUUUCAAUGAGAGUCUGAUGAGUUUCUGUUAGUCCAAGUUCCCAAGGACCACCAGCAUGCUUAAUAGAGCUUAUAGGGCUAGCUCCUGUUCCACCAUCAUGCCCAGAUAUCUGUAUAAUAUCAGCAUUACCCUUUGCAACCCCAGAAGCAACUGUACCAAUACCAGCUUCCGCCACAAGCUUUACAGACACCUUAGCCUUAGGGUUGACCUGAUGAAGGUCAUAGAUCAAUUGGGCAAGAUCUUCAAUGGAAUAGAUAUCGUGGUGUGGAGGUGGAGAUAUAAGCGGAACCCCUGGUUUAGAAUUUCUCAACCUUGCAAUAUAUGCACUAACUUUCUUCCCAGGCAAUUGGCCACCUUCACCAGGCUUGGCACCUUGUGCAAUUUUGAUUUCCAACUGGUCUGCAUUCACCAAGAAUGUUGGAGUGACACCAAAACGUCCUGAAGCAACCUGCUUAAUGGCACUAGUAGCAGUAUCACCAUUUUGGAGACCUUUGAGAUGUGGCAGUGUAGGAGAAUACCCAUCAACAACAUCUGAAAGUAGACUCCAUCGAAUUGGAUCCUCACCACCUUCUCCUGAAUUAGACUUUCCACCUAAUCUGUUCAUUGCAAUGGCAAUUGCUUCAUGAGUUUCUCUUGAAAUAGCCCCAAGGGACAUUCCACCAGUGCAAAACCGGUGAACAAUGGAUGAGGCAGGUUCAACCUUUCCCACAGGAAUUGGAGCACGAUCACUCUUGAACUCAAGAAGAUCACGAAGAACAUUUACAGGUCGAUUAGCUAAAUGCUGCUGAUAAAUAGAAAAUGCACUUUCAUUCUUUUGCCGGACAGCUUUGUGAAGCAGUUUUGACAUCUCUGGGUUGUUUCCAUGAUACUCUCCUCCAGGUCUAAACUGUAUAAAACCAAAAUUUUCCAGUCUUUUAGUUGUAUCCUCAGAGAAAGCCUUCACCCAGAAUGACAAUGUCUCUCUUGCCAACUCAUCAAAAGUUGCUCCACCAAUCUUUGACACACUCCCACAAAAUGCUAGAUCAACAACCGCCUUUCCUAAUCCAUAAAUCUCAAAUAUCUGGGCACCACAGUAACUUGAAAGCAAUGAGAUGCCCAUCUUGGAAAGGAUUUUUAAAAGACCAGAUUUAACUGCCUUGCAAAAGUUCUUUUGAGCCUGUUCAAUUGUUACAGUAGGCAUCUUUCCAUUCCUCAUUAAAUUCACAGUUUUACUACUUAGACGCCACUGCCGGCAUGUUUCCAAUGCCAAGUAUGGACAAACAGCACUGGCACCGUAUCCAAUCAAACAGCCAAAUUGAUGAGUGCUGAAGCACUGAGCAGUGUCUGCUAUGAUGGAAGUUGACAUUCGCAAGCCAUUUUGAAUAAGAUGCUGAUGAACAGCACCAACAGCAAGAAGAAUUGGAAUUGCAGGUCGAGUGGGCUCCAGCUCAUCAGAACGAUCUGAGAGAACAAGCAGUUGGGAACCAUUUCGAACAGCAUCAUCAGCAGCUUCACAAAGCCUAAUUAGUGUUCUUUCCAAAGUGCCCUCAACCCCUUUACGUAUAUCAAAAAAGGUUGGUAAAACUUGUGGUUUUAAGUAGGGAUCCUUAAGCAAUGACUCUAGCUCCCCCUCAUUCAGUACAGGACUAGAAAAGAUAACCUGCAAAGCAUUUUCAGGUCCAACUUCCAAUAUGUUUCCUCGCUUACCAAUAUUGACUUCAAGGGACAUGACUAAACCUUCCCUUAGAGGAUCAAUAGCUGGAUUUGUGACCUGUGCAAAUCGUUGCUUGAAAUAAUCAUAGAGCAUAUGCGGCCUUUGGGACAAUAUUGCCAAUGGAAUAUCAUCUCCCAUGCAAAAUGUAGGCUCCUUCCCCUGUGCAGCCAUAGUUUCAAUAACCAUUUGGACAUCCUCACUGGAGUAGCCAAAAGCCUGCUGGCGUCGUAAAAUUGCUUCAUUGUCCAUUAUUGUUGCGGAGAGGAAGUUUUCAGGCUUUAACGAUCGUAGGUUCUCACCGACCCAUUUCCCAUAUGGAUGUGAUAAAGCUACCCGCUUUUUAACUUCAGUAUUCUCAUAAACCUGACCACCAGGCAAAUCCACAGCUAUCAUCAUUCCUGGACCUAGGCGGCCCUUCAUUGUUAUUUUUGAUUCAUCCAUUGGUAGAACACCAACCUCAGAUGCAACAUAAACAAAAUUGUCUACUGUCCGCCAAUACCUAGCAGGACGAAGUCCAUUACGAUCAAGACAAGCACCAAUUGUUUUUCCAUCACUAAUUUUGCUUAAUGCAUGAAAUCAGCCACACUCGACACUUGAUAUUGAGAUGAUCCCAAAUUUGAAUAUGCUGCAACUUGUGAUCAAAGGACUGCAUGUUGAGUUUAUGGCUCAUCUUUCAGAUAAGAUACUGCAUGCUAAGAGCUCCAGGCAAACAGGGUAUGUGUAAGGCUCUCACUUUCGAUAGUCCGCACAUUCUAUUGUUCCGGUGACCAAUGUCUGUCCGAACAGCCAGAAUGUCUGGAACUGAAUAAAAGCAAAGCAGGCCCAUCCCAUGCUUCCAUCUGGCCCUUGUAAUACUCAUAAAAAUCAACAACCUCAGGAUAUUUUAUCGUCAAAGUCGGAUGAUUCUUAUAUGCCUCAGGGACAAGGAUCAUUAGAGCCUCCUCAGGAGUACGACCACUUCUUAUUAACAACUGAAAAAGAACAUUAAGCAAAACAAAUCAAACUUAUAAAAUUCACAUAAACGCCAUUAAUGAGUUGUAUCACACGCCUACUAAUCCUAAUGUAAUAAAGUAGACGGCAAGCAAGCUGUCUUCCUUUGUCAUGGUUUGCAACCCAUCGCAUAUGUUAUCCUAGUGUAUGAUCUAUUAUGCGUACUCUGAUAGGACUGAAAUAAAUGGUUUUCAUCGAACAACUAUUCAUCUAGUGAGACUACAAGUAGACUUUAAUCAAGUUGUAUUUCUCCAUAGUACAAAAAGCAACCAUGACAUGUUUAACAUAUAGUGCCUAAUUAUGGAACUCAGAAAAAGGCUGGAACUUGGAUCAACUUCAUGGUAGCUUCUUUAUAGCCUGAAUCUUGCCAAAAUAUUUCUGUUCCAGAUUCUAAUAUCUAAUUAAAAAUGUAAAUACAAUAACAAAUAAGUUACAAUGCACUCAUGCUAAUGAAAUGUACACAUAAAAUUCAAUAAAUGUUCUGAAGCAACAACAAAUGAAAAUAACACCAUUAAACAUAGAAGCAGCAGCUCAUACUUCAGCUGUGCUAUCCAGAUUUGCUGAGUCUGAUGCCUUUGGGUCACCAUAAGGACGGAUUUCAUUUUCACGACCAUUCCAAACAGGAGAUUCCAAUGAACUUUCUCGAGAUUGCAUCCAGUUCAAGUUACCCUGUAUGGUAUUAAUCUCUCCAUUAUGACCAAGAAACCGCAUUGGUUGAGCUAGAGGCCAUCUUGGACUCGUAUUUGUGCUAUACCUUCGAUGAUAAAUGGCAAAGGGUGAUUUAUAAAGAUCACUCUGAAGGUCAGAGUAAAACAAUCCAAGAACUUCAGAGCGAAGCAUUCCCUUAUAAAUAAUUGUUUGAUUAGACAAAGAACAGAUGUAAAGCUCAUCACCCCAACUUUCUAAGGUAGCAGCCCUCUCGAUCAGCUUCCGACAGAUGUAGAAUUCUCGUUCAAUAUCAUCAACAUUCUCUUCCUCAACAACUCUAACAAAUACCUGCUGUAUGUUGGGCAUGGUUUCUUUUGCAUAAUAACCAACUACAGACUUAUUUACAGGAACAGGCCUCCAUCCAAGCACUUCAAGGCCUUCUUGUUUAAAAGUAUUUACGACAACUUUUUGGGCUUCUUUCAUGAAGUUAUCAUCCUUGGGGAGGAAAACCAUCCCAACACCCGUGUGCAAUUUAUCAAAAGGUGCAAUUCCUUGCUUGUCAGCCCAGUUGUUAAAUAGAUCCCAUGGAAUUGAAGUCAUCAAUCCUGAUCCAUCGCCGGAGUCAUUGUCUGCUCCACAACCACCACGAUGUUCCAUACAGCCAAGAGCUGUAAGAGCAUCCUUAACUAUCUGAUGUGAUGCUUUAUUUUCCAAAUUAGCAAUAAACCCAACUCCACAAGCUCCUCUUUCUGAUAUUAUGUCAUCCAAGUUAGCAACCUUGGGUUUCAAAUCAGGUUGAGGAACUGAUUCAGUACCACGAGUUGCUCUAACUGAACACGAGUUUCUACUUACAAAUCGAGACAAACUAGUUCGUGCUAUUGACGGAGUAGAAGAGACACCAACACCGAUUCUCCUUCUACCUCUCUUGGAUUUAGAAUAUAACCCCACAAAAUCAGCAAAUAAGAGACUUUUGCCGUUAUUAUUAUUAGUGUAAGCAAGAACUGAACACGGUGCCUUCGUAGACGAACCAUUGGAGGUGGCGGGGGCAGCGGUGGAGGAAGAGUAGAAGAGAAGCUGAGGAAUGGGAGAGAACGACGAAAAUUGCAGCGCCAUGAGCUACGACGACUGCUAAGAGAGUUUUUUCUUUUUUCUUUUUUUUACAUUUUUUAAAUAUGGGACCAUUUGCACAAUUUGGAAUAGGAGUCGAUAUCAAUUAUGGAUGAUGGGCAAAUUCAUAACUCAUAAGCACUGGCAGAAUUGUAAUUUCUGAUAUUGUCCUUAAAAUAUUGGAUAUUUAGGUAGUUUGAGUCAAGUUUGGACUUUCUAGGACACGCUUUCCGUCUAACCUGAGAUUUAGUUAGGAACUUCCCAUUUAAGGGUACCUAUGUUCUACCUUUUUUUUUUGGUAUGCUGUUGGUGAAUUAUGACUAUAUGAUCUGCAGUUAAAGGUAUUCUUCCCCAGUGAGAAUUAGAAACUUCUACAAAUUUGUUAACAAAAUUUGAUGCUAUAUUAUUUUUGGGUAGUACUUACUGCCAUAUGGAUGCCAUCUAUAGUUCUAUACUCAGUCCUCACCCAACUGCAAACAUCCAGUCUGCAUAGAAAUGCUAAUUACCACAAAAAUUCCUAAUCCAUUUGCAUCAAUGUCCUAUCAAAAUAACGUCAAAAUAUCUCAGAUUUGGGAGCUUGAAAAAUUUCCCAGUCUUAUAUAGUCACAGAACAUCUCUUCACCUUUAAAUUUCACCUGAUUCAAAUACUAUUCAAACCACAAAAUCUUUACCUAUUUCUUCUUUGAUUCAAACUUUUCUCCUCAUCUUUCAUGCCUUAGUCCACUGUACAGCAAAUCAUGAUUGUUUGCUUAUUUCAUUGUGGGAUUUAAGAUCAAUUUCUUUUCCCACUAAUGGCCUUCCUAUAGGCUGGCUUUAGUAAAUGGUUUGUUUCUCUUUUAUUUUCGUAGCUUUUUUACUCACUAUAUUAUUGAUAUUGUUCGGGUUAUAAUUGGCGCUAAACAAUGACAAUGAUGUGCCUGUCUUAACCCCACAAUCAUGCUUUUUCUCACACAAAGGUCUGGGAAUUUAUUUUGUUAUGCCAGGUGUGUAUGAUUUAGAAUCUUGUUUGAUGCAUUAGUGUUAAAGGAUGAAUUUUUAGGUGUUGAUGCCAUGACCGUGGGUUUGGGUUUAAUUUUUCCUUGCUAUCAAUUUUCCCAAGUUCUGUGCAUGGAUGGUAGUAUUACCAUCACAUGGAUCAGUCACCUCCAGCAAGCCCCAAAGUUGAUCUAGACAUGGAACUGUUUGUUGUGAUUUCACUUUAAAGAUGAUUUUGGAUUCUUAAAUUAUUGAUUGGUUUGAAAGAAAACGAUAGGUUUGUUGUCUGUUAGUUUCUCAAAUCCUACAUUCUGUGCAGCAAUUGGCCCACAUUUCCACAGAUUUUUAUCAAGGGAGAGUUUAUUGGUGGAUCAGAUAUAAUUAUGAAUAUGCACCAGAGUGGUGAACUGAAAGAAAAGCUCCAAGAUGUUGCAGCCAAUCAAAAGUCUGAAUAGUUCUCUCAUUGAAUAAAGGGUAGAUUUUGCUUGUUGAACCAUGAAGGAAUGCUUAGCUGAAACCACCAGGCGGAAAAAUAGAUGGUUUAGAAUGGUGGGACUAUAGAUUUUAAGGAAAAAAACAACUUAUUUUUCGUUAUGCAAAUGAAUCGUGUAUUAAUUUGUCCUCCAGCCAUCGGUUUUUGUUCCAUGAAAAGUAUUUGUAUAGGCAUUUCCUAUUCGAACAAUGAAAGCCCAAAUAUCCAAUUCUCAUUCAAAUAUACCUGCAGUUUUAUCUAUGAUGAAAUAGAUAUGAUCCCAUUUUCAGUUGAGAUUUAUGUCCAACUUUUCAUGCUUCCCUUGAAGAAACUGCUGCUUUUCUGGAGAAUAAUUUCAUCUACUUUUGGAAAAGGAGUAAAUUGAAAACUUGCCCUUGUACAGCAAGUGGAGAAAAAAGACGCUCAAAACUGCAAUGCCAACUGCACGCCUAAUUUUCUUAUCUAUUUUUGAAAUGGAAAUACAUCCGGUAAAUGAAUGUGUUUUCUUGGGCAGGAAAAAAACAAUAAAGGAAGAGAGCAUACAAUCAAAAUUUUCAUAGACAAACAGCAGCAUAUCGUACAGGAAUGCUUAUAAUUUGAAUGUUUCCAAUUACAAUCACUUUUACUGCAUUUUUGGAUCCAUCAGGAUUGCCAAUAGAAGCAAUAAAAAA
rnacentral:misc_RNA from 1 species